GACAGAGGGUGCAAACGUUGCUCGGAAUUACUGGGCGUAAAGCGCGUGUAGGCGGUUCCGCAAGUCAGGUGUGAAAGCCCAGGGCUCAACCCUGGAAGUGCACUUGAUACUACGGAGCUUGAGUACUGAAGAGGAGAGCGGAAUUCCCGGUGUAGAGGUGAAAUUCGUAGAUAUCGGGAGGAACACCAGUGGCGAAGGCGGGUCUCUGGACAGUUCCUGACGCUGAGGCACGAAGGCCAGGGGAGCAAACGGGG
rnacentral:rRNA from 1 species